GUAGAUAUGGCUCACUGGUUAAGAGCUCUGACUGCUCCUCUGAAGGUCCUGAGUUCAAAUCCCAGCAACCACA
rfam:Mus musculus chromosome 12, GRC primary reference assembly.